rnacentral:lncRNA from 1 species
AGAUGAACGGCUGUGCAAUGGUGAACAGAUUCAUCCCCAGGCACCCAAUCCAUUAUCCUGUCAACAACAGCAGGUCCCUGCCACAGUUAGCAGCAACAUUGGCCAUAAUGAAAUCAUCAGUAAUCCCAAAACUCAUCUCAUCAUACCCAAGGUAAAAGUGCUUAUCUUUUCUUGGACUGUAUGAUAACAUGACAAAACAGUUAAACAACAGGCUUGGACCACAGUGGAAGACGCAUGUUUUUCUUCAGCAAUGAAUAACCUGUAGUAGCUAUUUCCCUGCAUGUAAUGGAAUUUGACUUAAGAAAAUCAAAGAAAUGGAUCUAUGGAAUUUCAGUGAGAAAUCUGAUUUAGUUUUUACACUGUCAAAUGCUGAAACCAUUUGAUUUCAGCUCUAUUUUUCAUAUAUAUAAAAAAAUCUUAAAUUCGCUGGGAAAUUAAAUUAAAAUCAGGAAUCUCAUGUUUAUACUCGUCAGGAUAAUUUAUAUGGCUAACUAGUUAUUUUUUUUUUUUUUUUUUUUUUUUGUCGUCUAUUCGAGUCUAGUUAGUCUAACAGUUAUUUUUUUUUUUUUUUUUUGUUUCGUCAUUCGAGCAUUAGUGGCAUUGAGUACCAUUGUUAUUCAAUCGGUAUAGGUUAUCCUCUGCAGGUGAUUGAGCAAAAGUGCUUAAGCGCGCUUUACAAACUUGCUGAGAAUGGAUAAUGUCUUGUAAUAUUUCUCUAUUUAAAGCUGGUUUAUAAUUAAAUAUUUAUUAUUCAUAUAGCCUAGUUUGUUUCGAUUGCAACACUGAAAUGCGCGUAUUAAUAAACUUUUUUUUUUGUCAAAUAAAUAAAUCAGUUAGAUAGGCUAAAUAAGGAAAAUGCUUAACAUGACAUCGACAAAUAGCACGCUUCUCACGUAUUAGUGACUCAAAAUACCUAAAAUAAAUUAAAAUAAGUUCGGUAAAAAUAGCAUUGUCCUUUUCAAAUAAAUUAGCUUUACAGCACUGCUGAUUUAAAUUUAAAUACCGAACUCAUAUGCUUCAAAUAAAAAACAGGAUAUCAUCCCAGUAGUUCGCAGUGACAUCUGAAAGAAGGUCAAACUCAAGCCUCUUUUCUUUAAUUGACCAGUGAAUAUUAUUUUACCAGUGUCAGAACCAGAGGGGACGCAACCAUUCAGCGAAAUACAAUAGGAAUAACAGAGCGUGCUGAAAUUGCAUCUUCAUUUGCAUAUUCGGUUCAAAAAUCAUGCAAAUCCCAAUGAGACGGUCUUUAUUGUGCCUGCAAUUGAAAAAUCAUUCUGUUAACCAUGGUAACUCUGGCCUUAUUCGUAGCCAGUGAGUUGAAACAAAAAAGUUAUUAAUUCAUACGGUAUGACGUUUAAAUGGAUUCCGGGGCAAUGGUUAAUGUUUCGGCGACAUAGCCUACUAUA